UUUAAAAUGCCAUCAUCUUUUUUACUCUUAUCAUUCCUAGAUGGAUUUGCACUCAAUUUAUGAAAAACAGGAGACACCCCACUUUAAGCUGCCACCAUUACACACACAUGUGGUGGCUAAAGCUGUUCAGCCCAGGGUUGUGUCCUGGGCAUUUGAAGACGAUUUGGCUAAACCGGUGACCAAAAAGACCAAUAAAAUAGCGGCCAUAUCCGAUAGAAAAAAUGUGGCCAAAAUUACCAUUUUUCAGGAGUAUGCAGAGAAAAUUGCAGGGGGGAGGAAUUACAUACUAAGGGGGUAUGCCUUAAGAGGAAAUACACCACCUUAUCGUUCCUAAGGAGACAGUUUUUCCCGCUGUGCUCCGCUGGACAUAUCCGAAGAGUUACUCCAGGAGGGAGAGGCGCUCAUACAUCCAACCUCACCACUGACCCCACUCACUAUAUGCAGAGGCACUCAAGGCUUCAUCUCUGUGCAGGGUGAAGUCAUUGAAAUAAGUCCAUUCAUAAUCAGCAAAGCACAUUGAUUUAUAUUGACGAAAUGACAUCUUAUCAGUCUUCCUUUCUUCUUUUAAGGUAUCAGCUUUGAAAAAUGUUCAGUAGGGGAAAGAAGCCCUUCCCCUAAAAAACCUCAAGAUACAGCAGAGGGAGGCAGCAAUGGAAGAUCUGCAGCUGGGGUCCUAUAUACGGGUGUCGCACCUUAAAGCAAAGAGUCUAUGAACUCCGGCUGCAGUCAACAACAUACAAAGUUUGAGCUUUAAAAAAAGGUCCCAAACAUUACCAGCCAGGAGCUCAGAAGGGUCACUGAAACAAAUGUUCUUUCAAUGUUCUCUGGAGCAAGAAGCAAAAGAUAAGGUGGCUCAUUAUAUGGCCCACACAACAGCUGUGGCAAAGUCACAUUAGAUGAAAACAGCAGAAGAAACUGGCCACUGCAAACAUUAUGGCCAGUUUAACUGAUUGCAGCUCAGAUGAGACAAGAACUGGAGCAAAAAAGGAGGAGCCAGCAAUUCCAGCCUUGCAAGAUGGCAGAAAAGUUUGCGGUGACCAUGAAUGGGAAGUUACCCUCAAAGAUAAAUGCUGGGUGCCCUGCAAUGGACUGGCAACCUGUUCAGGGUGUACCCCGCGUCUCACCCUCAGCUAGCUGGAAUAGGCUUCAGCCCCUCCAGUGACUCCAAUUGGGACCAAGUGGGAGAAAAUGGAUGGAUAAAUGCUCGGUUCCAAGUGGAGAGAAGCGUCUAUGAUAAGUGGAGGGCUGCCCAGUUUCAAAAAUAAAGAGCAUCUACUGUCAAAAUGUUACAGGCGGCAGCCCACAGUGGCCAAAGUAACUAAAAUCAUUGAAGCAAAGGGCUGGAGUGCAAAUUACCCUUCCCCAGCACACAUGAAAUGGAGACCAUCCAAAAAAAAUAAAUAAAAAAAUAAAAGGUUAAGGUUGGUGAUGCCAGUGCAUCACAGGCUUAAUGCAGUUACUGCAAGCAAAUAAAUAUUUAAACUACUUAUGUGUUAAUCACUUUAAUCUUGCUGGUUUAUUUCAACUAUAGUUGACACGUGUGUGGUUUCAAACCACCGUGACUGCGACCGUGACUCUCAAACAACACAGGU